UCCUAACCUCUGAGCAAUCUCUCCAGUCCAGCUCCAUUAGACUGUCGUCAAGAGAGGAGCUGAGUCCGUCUAAGAUGCUAGCUGGGGAGGACACCUGCUCCAGCUCGACCUGCGUUGCUGUCUGACACUCGGGGGUGGGGGCACUCACCAGUGGUACCAAUCGUCACAGUCGUCACAGCCAAUCAUCGGGCUCCCGUCAUCAGGCUUGUUGCACCCUGGACAGAUCCAGAUCUGAUUGCCCCACUCAUCACGGAUCUGGUGGUAAAGUGCAGAGCAGAAACAGAUGGUGUGGGGGGAAAGAAGCAGGUAAGAAUGCUGCUUUAUACUGGCCACAGUAAACCAACAAGCUAGGUGCAUGCAUUAGCACUGUUGUACGCGACCAUCAGUCGCCUCUGCUCUGGAUCCAUAAAGAGGAGAACACCUGGUCAUUCAGGAACAGCGUCCUCCUCCUCCUCUUCCCUCACACACUCCCUCCUCUCACUCUCUCCUAGCUCUCUCCCUCUCAGUUUCCCCUACUCUUACACUCUCCCUCACACACCCCGCUCCGAUUUGUUGUUAUUGUUGUUGUUGAGGCAGAUCUCAUGAGCUCAGGCAGGCUUGGCUUGGCAGUCACUAUAUAGUCCAGGCUGGUUUUGAACUGCAAUCUUUGCCUCUACUUCCUGAGAACUGGGAUUUCUGGUGUGUGCUGCCAUGCCUGGAUAGAAGGACACAUUUCUAAUGCACAUUCUAAACUGCUUUAUAAAUCACUAAAAGCAAAGCAUCACAGAGUCAUCUCUGGGAACCGUGGAACACAACCUGAGUCGGCUUCACCUAAGAAUCCUAUAAGCUCACAAACCCCCAAUGAUUAUGGGGUGUCGGGCAGAAGCAAGUGAGAGUUAGAAAGCCCUCAGCUUUCUGUAUCCCCUCAGCCACGGUCUAGCACAGACAGUCAAGUGUGCAUGCGCGCCGUCAUUACUCAUUAGCCAGGCCCUGCUCCUGAGCUAGGUGAUAAGAUCAAGGAUGGAAAAGAGCUGUUACUGAGUAACUUUCCAUUCCCUUUAUGACAUUUUAGAAAAGCACAAUCAACUAAAGGGCGGAGGAAAGAAGAGGCUCAUGGGGCCAACGAACUAAAUGAUUAUUAUGCUCCAAAUGCUGUGUGUUCUGGAAGUUCUGACUUCGUUCUCAACAGGGAGCGCUCCUAACUGGACAGCUUUCUCAAAUGUCACAUUAUCAGAACUGCAUGGACACUGGAAAGGAGCGCCGAGUCACGCUUCCUUUUAAAUGUCCUCACAGUAAGACAGCAUAUGACUUCACUACAGAUUUUGCAAGGUGUCCUCGUCCUAUGCCUUUAGCACUGCACUGACUCGAUAUGUGAACGACCAGGGUUUCUUUGUGAGGGCUUACCAAGACUGGGCAUGUUCUGCUGUAUGCAUGGACUUGCUCAAAAGUUACUAUUUCAAAAAUCUCUAUAAAGCAAUCCACCUUGACCUGAAACUGUUCUAGAGGAAUGUGGAGAAAGCUGUCUCUGACUGCCAGCUCUAACUUGGGGGACACUGCACCAUGGGGAAAGAACCAGCAGCGUCCCCCAAGUGGGGGUGUCCAGUGGGUGAAGCCACCAUGCAUGGCUGGUCCUGCUGCUGGCUGACCUUACUUGACAUUAGCAGACUUGUGACUCUGAGAUACAUUAAAAAAAUUGCUAUAGCACCACAGUAGGACCCAAUAUUUUCCAGGGUACUGAGUUCUUUUAAAACACAUCUUCGAUAGUUUAGAAAUGGGGAAACAGGAGCUAUGAGAAUCUCACUGUCAAAAGCACACUAGCAGGCAGUAAUUGCCCUCUGUGUCCUCUAUCUGUAAAGUGCCUAGUUAGACUACAAGACAUUUGAGCGCUGUCCCAGUUGCUGUCACAUCUGUGAAGUCAGUUCCAGUGUCCACUGGAAAGCCACAAUCUUUAGAGCCAGACAAGAGUACAGAGAUUACUGAGUCUAAUACAAAUCCCUUAAUUACAGACAAACAAAUGGAGGCUGAGGACAUUUAGUAUAGACUCUUUCCUGGUCAGCUCACCUGGGGGCGAUGCCUCGAUUGCACUCCUCGGUUGAUUGAGGAAUGGACCAAUUGAAUCCUCACAGGUUUUUGUAUCACGUUUUCUGUCUUGAAUUGCUAAUUUACUAAUUUUAAGUUCAUUUUUCCUGUCUCUGUACUCUGAAUGCAUUCAGGAUUUUUAAAAAUAUUUGUUUCCUUAUACUGUCUCACAUAUAUAAUGAUUUAUUCUUUUCCAAACUCCCAUGUAACACGCUAUAUAGAUAUCUCAUAACAAAUAGCACCAGGCCCUGCAACUUCCCAGUCAUUCAACUCUUCAAAGGCUAGGUUAACUCAACAGUCUACAGAGCUUGUCAUUCAAAAGUGUCAAUAUCUCCAUUUACAAACUACUGUGUGUCUCUUUACUGUGCCUUGAGAACAUAUCUUUAUAAAUAGGUCAUUAUUGGACUGAAUUUGGGGUUGGAAUAAGAUCUGACACUAUUUAGUAUAGGGAGAUACCUAAGGGCACUCUCAGGACGACACAGAGCCACUCAGUGGGAUGAGAUGUGUUUCAUUACGUACUCUUAGCACUAGGGCUUAAACCCAGGGUCCGGCCCAUGCUAGGCAAGCUCUCUACCACUGAGCUAGGUCUAAGAAUAAAAAAUGCACUUGGAUACUCAGAAAUUCCUAUGGUCUAAAGGUUCGUUCUAUCUAAGUUCUUAUAUAUCCUGGAUCUCAGCAAAUAAAAUAUGAUAAUUAGUGCUACAAUUCAGAAAUAAUAGCUGGCUCAUAAGAUCUAUGUCUAAUAUAUAACUUAUGCUAAUGUUAAUAAUUUACUCACUCUAGUGAGACUCCACUGGAAUUUAAACACCACAGUUAUAUACUAGUGUUCUUAUAUUUAGGUAUAGAAAAGGCUCAAACCAACAUAAACAAGUGCAAUUUGACAUCAUUUACGUGGCCGAACAAGAACUUUGUAACGUAAGAGUCUGCAGUCAACAGCUUGAAAAGACAAUGGAGAUGCUUCCCCAUCUGCCAAGCAUCACCUGUGAGAGUCAACACUACAGAAGCUGCCCUCCGUAAAAUGCUGUGGAAAUCUGGGUCACUCACUCCUCCCUGAUGACUUCAGAUGUGUCACCUCGACUUCUGGGAUGAAAUUGGAAAAGUGCUGUGUCACUUCCGAGUGGCUUCUCUUGAGCCACUGGAGUUUUCUUUGCUUCAGAGGAACCCCUUUCUCCCUGGAAGUCAUCAAGCCCUAAAACCUGCAGGUGUUUUUAUAUUUAAUUCGGAUGAGCAUGCUGCGUCCCCCCCCCCCCAAUCUGGUAUUUAAACACUUGGUCCCUAGUUGGUGACAGUUUGGGGAGAAUUAUGUGGUACAGCCAUUACCAGGGCUCGACCUUGACAUUACAGUCUCAUCCUCUGUCUACUUCAUGCUUGUAGCGAAAGAUGUGAUCACUCGGCUUCCUGCUCCAGCCAUCGCACCUGCUACCUGUGACCAUGCCUCUCCACCAUAACUGAGCACCCCCUCUGGAACUGUAAGCCCCCCAAAUCUCUUCUAUACAAUGCUGUGGUUACAGUCCUGCUUGAUCACAGCAAACACUAAGUAACUAUCACAGAGGCUGGCAGAGGCAGUGGGCGCUUGUCUCACACUUCCGUCACUCUGCUACUCUUUUGAGGACCGUGGAAGACUUGAGAAGUCUAUUCCAGAACAGUGGUCAGAUGCUCUAAGCAUCACUGAGUAAGCUGCUCUGACAGAAGCCUGGAAACCAGCAACGCUGAGACGGCACAGACUACGAAGGCCAGCGUGAGGGGCUAAGAAGGAAUCAAUACUAGCAGCCCCACGAGAAGCCAGUCAGUCACGUGAUGUUUUGGUCAAGGAUUUGGUUGCUUUCUGUCCACAUCUUGAGAACUUGCCUGAGGCUACAUUUAAAAUUAACGGGUUAAUUUCUUUGGUGGGGAUUAUUAUUUCUUUUUUGUUGUUGUUGUUAAGAUUUAUUUAUUUAUUACAUGUAAGUACACUGUAGCUGUCUUCAGACACACCAGAAGAGGGCACCAGAUCUUGUUACGGAUGGUUGUGAGCCACCAUGUGGUUGCUGGGAAUUGAACUCAGGAUCUUCUGAAGAGCAGUCAGUGCUUUUAACCACUGAGCCACCUCUCCAGCCCCCGGGAUUAUUAUUUCUUCUUCCUUCCUUCCUCCUCCUCUUCCUUCUUGUUUCUCCUCCUCCUAUUUGUAUAUGUUUUGUUUUUUAGAGGCAGGGUACAACCCUGUACAACCCUAGUUGUCCUGGAACUCACUAUGUUGAUCAGGUUGGCUUUGAACUCAGAGACCUACCUGCCUCUGCCUCCUGAGAGCUGGGAUUAAAGGCUAGAGAAGGAAAUUUUAAAGCAACAAAAUAUGUGGUGUGGCUGUUAUUGAUAACACUCUGCAGUCUCCAGCAAAAAGCACAAGUAGGCCAAAUGCAAAUCAGCAAGUUUAGGAGAAAAGCACACUGGCCGAGGCUGGCUGCAGGAGGCUGUAAUUGUUUAAGAGAGAGAUUGGGGCAUUAAGAAAAAGCCUGCUCUGCAGUGGAACAAAGGGAAGUGUCCCCUCAGGGCCAGACUCUACCCACCCAAGCUUCCAACCUCAGGCUCUUUAAACUGCCCCUAGAAAGCAAUUACAAACAAACUUUGCUGGGUGGUGGCUGAGGUGGGGGGUGUAGACAGGUCCCUCCCUUUCUGCUGGAUAUGAAGACAUGCAUGCUGCAAAAGUGAGGGGUGGUGGAUUUCAGACAGCUAUCAAGCCAGACAGUACGUGGCAGAUAGGCCCGGAGUGAAGGCCCUGAGAAGCCUCACUGAGUGAAGCUGAGUGAAGUCUGGGUUGCAGUGGCAACCUAAGAUGGCGGAUCUGCCAAGGAGGAAUUGUAUGGAACUGACAGAAGAUACCAGUCUAUGCAUGUAAGAAACACAUGCAUUCCAGGUCAAUAAGAAGAAAAGCACAGCCCAAGCAUGCGCUAACAAAACUGUACAACAGAGAGAAGCCUGAGCAGCAGCUAGAGGAAAAAGAACAGCCACCUCACAGGAGAAACAGUGCAGCCGACUCAGGAGCUCAGCAAAGCAGAAGACAAACAUGCCAAAGAAAAAUAAAUUCCAGGUUUGAAAUCCUGCACAAAGAAUGCCAAAUAAAUACACUUUAGUCAAAUAAAAUGUAAGAGUUUACUACCUGCAGGCUUGUACAGAAAGAAACUAUUUGGGCCUUUACAUUUUUAAAUAAAUUAUUAAGAACCUUAAUAUUUAUCAUUUUAUAAGCUAAUUAAGAUAAGCAAUAUUUAUCAUUUUAUAGGCUAAGUGGAUAAAUUAAAAAAGAUUUAUUCAGUAAUGGCUCAAUGGUUAAGUGCACUGGCUGUUCUUUCAGAGGACCAGGGUUCAAUUCCCAGCACCCACAUGGCCGCUCACAACAGUGUGUAGUUCUAAUCUCAGGGGACGUAAUGUCAUCUUCUGGCCUCUCUGGUUAUUAGGCAUGCACGUGGUACACAGACAUAUAUGCAGACAAAUUCUCAAACAUAUACAAAUUAGAUAAAUAAUAAAAAGCAUUUUAAAAGUAGGGGCUUAGGACACAAGUCAGUGGUAUAUUUGCUGAGUACAGCUGAGGCGCUUAGUUCAAGCUCAACCUAACACCAAAACCAGAGAGCUAAACCACAAAGGUCUACAUGAGGUUAGAGGAGCAGCCCUGGGUGGGCUGGGCUGAGGUCUGAGAGAGCAAGCUGAGCAACACUCAUCCUUUCUGCUUCUUCACUGUGGAUGAAUGUGAGCUUCUGGGGCCAUGGCUUCCUUACUAUGAUGGGCUGUAUCCUCCAACUAGGAUGCACAAUGGCCCUUCUUUCUUCCCAUUGCCUUUGUUCAGUAACAAGAAAAGCAACUGAUGUAAGAAACAGCUUCUUUGAAAAAUAAACGUCACUUGAGCAAAGGACCUCAGAAGCAGACCUGCAUCAGGGGGAAUGGGUGUGGUGGUGGAAAGGUGAAUACGGUGACAGAAUGGCCUUACUGUGAAGACUAAAACGCCAGGACACAUAGUGCUGUAGGUCUGAGGAGGGACGGGCAGCCGGCAUGGUGCUUCUGAACGGUUUAUAAAACCAUGAUGGAUAACCCUUUGGCUAACCAGGUAGCUAGCUCAUGCCUUCAAUCCUAGUGGCUGGGAGGCAGGGACAGGCACAUGUGAGUUUGAGGCUAGCCUGGUUUACACAGUGUGUUCCAGGACAUUCAGGGCUAUAGACUAAGACCUGUGUCAAAAUACCACAUUAUAUAAGUAGUCACACACUUAUUUUUAUCAAAAAGAAAAAAAUAGUUGUGAGUAGUAUAAAUCCAAGUUUUCUAAGGAAAAAUACAAGCAUGAAUAUUUGUGUGUAGUUACAAAAAAAGUUCAAAAGCAUAUACUCAAGUGUGUGUAAACUAUUCAGAAACUGCCUCAGUAAGCUGGGAUUACAGGCUACUUUUCCUUCGCUUAUCCAUAAUUAACAUAUAAAUCUUAGAGUAAAAUUAACAAAAAAGUAAAAAUAUACACAUCUAGGUAUCUCUGGGAACUUAACACAAUGAUGGCUUGCCCAGUACCUUCUAGGGAAAUGCUGGCCACGUUUAGUGAUACAUAAAUGGCAUGGAGCCCCAGGUUAAGUCAAAGGGCAGCACAGCACAGGUGACUGCCAUCGCUGAUGGAGAGCAAAAGCCUAAAGUCCAAGGAAGCAGCGAAGAGAGGCUUCCCGGUCUAUGCUGUUUGUUUGUGUGGCUAAAGUAAUAAAUGCGUCCUUUAGCUUUUGCUAUGGUUUGCAUGUGGUUUGUUCCAGAAGAUACAUAUGCUCGUGUGCUGGGUCUUCAGUGUGUUGAUAUGACAAGUGGAAGGAUUGUCUAGAGGUGGGGUUUAGUGUGAGGGAACUUAUGCAUGUAUCGUGUGUGUGUGUGUGUGUGUGUGUGUGUGUGUGUGUGUGUGUGUAAGGACAAGUUAUUAAAGUAGACACAUGAUUUUAUAAGACAAACUAUAAAUUAUAACUACUUCCCCAGCUCUUGAAGUUCAGAGUUUCCUAGAGUUUGAGUUAUUUUGAGUUUAGCUUCUAAGAGACUUAGGCUAGUUGAAUAUACAGUUUUCAAAACAAUUCUUUCUUUUCUUUCCUUUCCUUUCCUUUCCUUUCCUUUCCUUUCCUUUCCUUUCCUUUCCUUUCCUUUCCUUUCCUUUCCUUUCCUUUCCUUUCCUUUCCUUUCCUUUCCUUUCCUUCCUUUCUCUCUCUCUCUCUCUUUCCUUCCUUCCUUUUCUUUCCUCCUUUCUUUUCUUUUCUUUUCUUUUCUUUUCUUUUCUUUUCUUUUCUUUUCUUUGUCUCCCUCCCUUCCCCCUCCCUUUCUUAAGAAAAAUUCUUUUAUUAUCUAGUUUUAGCAAUAUGAAAAAUCACAUAGCAGUACAACAUAGUCCAGGCUCUCCGACCAGAUCUGCUAACCUGUCAUCAGCACACGAUUUAAUCACAGUGGAGAAGAUUUUGGUCCUGCUUGCUCUUGCCUUCCUGUUGACAUGCACAGUAAGUUCCCCUUCAGAGCUUCCUGUUGAGUGCCAGCGGCUCCCAGAGAAAGCAAUGCAGUCCACAAGUGUGCCCCGCAGUGGCUCUGCUGCUAAAGUUACAGCUCUUGGAGGAUUUAGUCACAGUGCUCUAACUGCUAGAAACACUGGCGUUAUUCAUACAAAUGUGUGGAAGGAGGGACUGUCAGAGGGAUUUCUUUACCUGUUUCCCCACCACAAACAGAAUGGGUCAUGAGCUGUAAUGCAAACUCACAGCUUGACAAGUCAAUAAAGAGGCAGGCCGAGCCUCCCAGCCCCCCAGAGCCUCCAAGGUUAGAAGCAAACACAAUUUGGAUAUGUUCUGCACAGGAGGUUUAAUGAUCCUCAUUAUUCCGCUAUUGUGUGCAAACACUAUGAAACCAGUAAUCUAAAUUAUCAGAGUCCAAAUAACUGGCUACUCAAGUGCUCUCAGUUGAAAAGUUCCCUCACAAUGGCUUACUUAUUUACCUAACAGUGAGUGGCCAUUUUUAGAUGAUGACAUGACAGAGAAAAGCACAGUAGUCAUGUUUAGGGAGAGCGGCCAUGUGACCUUCUGAACACAGAAAUUAGUCAAUGCAGAACAAUCACUUUGAGGAAAAAGCAUGUUGCUUAAAUAGCAAUUCUCCUAACUUUCUUAUACAUAUUUAAUUUUAGAUUUCAGACAUACCAUCUGCCACAAGAAACACAUUCUCACAUGUUAAAUGAACCUCUUCUCACAACAAAUUCGGACUAUUCCUGAGAGUUUACAGUACUCUGGCUGGGAUACCUCGAGGUUGGUUUGUGACAUGAAUAUGUAUGUCUAGUCUUCCUGUUUUUGCAUUUUCACUUUUAUGGAAAGCCCCAGAUAGACCUAGCCUAAAUGUGGUAGUCAGUCUGGUGUGCACUCACUGGCAGAUUUAAAUACUAUGAAAGUCACUCACUUCCAGCAAUCUCCCUUCGGAGACCACCUAUGAGUGCUCCAUGCUCCCCUUGCCCCAUGUGGGGAAAGGCGGCUGCGGUGUCUGCCUUGGCAGGAGCUGGUGGGCUGGUGAACUUAGACCCAGUCCUCAUCGAGGCCUUCAGAUGGCGUUUCCUUGACUGCAACUUCUAAGACCUGAGUGAAAACUGCUCAAACCCUCAGAAGCCAGCGGGGAGGCCCAUUGUUUAAAACAGCUAAAUUCCAGGCCUAUUUGUUGUAUGGGAAUGGAAAACAAACACACCAAGUUUUCCACUUUUCUAGCUUCAGUAUCUAAGCAAAUAUUCCAAACUUGGGAGGAAUUCUAUUUUAGAGUAUCAGUACUUAAAAUGCCAAACAGUGAGACAGUCAUUUCCAUAUUUCACGUUGAUCAAAUACCCAAAGACAAUUAUGAGAAUCAGUUUUAUGUUGAUUCUUCAAAUCAAUCAUUAUUCCUUAUUCUUCUUGAUCCUCACAGCUCAAAAUUUAACAUUCGUAUAAUUAUAAGACAACGAUAAAUGGAUUUAAUUCCUCCAGCUCAUGGCUUUGCCUCCUGAAUAUUUACAUCGUCUCAUAAAAUGCGUAUUUUAUCUUGUCAUAGCCCAAGUACACAUCAAGUAGCAAACAUUUUAUCUUUUAAUGCAGGCAUGACCUAUUUGAAAAAUGAAACAAAUUGCAUGAAGUAAUUAGAGAAAAACAUCACCAUUAUAGAAUCUUGUUUCCAAGGGAGAGGCCCAAAUGAUUAUACUUCUAUUGUCAAAUGUUCAAAAUCUGUAAAAUACCCUAAAAGGGCACCAAGACUCAGAUAAGUAAUGAAUAACGAACAUUUCAUUGGGCUUGCAAGAAGAUGCGGCAGAGCGAUAACAGACUAAGGAAAGCGGAAGGAUGAGCUCUCAAUAAGCCAUGGGGAUCGGGAAGAAACAAACACUCAGAAGCCAGCACUCUCUAACUUUGGAGUCAGGUAAAUCAUUCUCUAUAUUCAAGAAAAUUAAUUUGUUUUUUAAGACAGGGUCUCACUAUAUAGCUCUGGCCGGCCUAAAACUUGGUAUGUAUGUUAGGUUAGCCUUGAAGGAUCCGCUUGCCUCUGUCACCCAAGUGCCACCACACUUGGUUCAGAAAAUGAACUUUUACAACUGUCUUAGAAUGAACAAUAAGCAGAAAUGAAUGAUAUGGCAUCCCCAAGCAUGUCAUAAUGAUGAGAUAGUAAACAUUUCAGGAGACUAGGAUGCUGGUAUAUUGAUCACACAUCCAUAGAAAAAUGUAAGAAUAUAUGCCGAGUGAGGUUAACACCUUAUUAGCUGUAGGCCAGGUCACUUCAGAGGCCUUCAAAGCAAUACAAUGCUACUGUUCCUAGAAACCCAGUGGAAUUCCAGUAAGACUCUGCUGCCAAAGAUAUGUGCUCUGGAUGCCGGACACUGAGAAACAAAGCUGGAACUGAGCAGUAGGCUUUAUAACUUCCUGCCAACUACCUUCAUAAUGCAGAAAGAUGCUAUGCAUGCUGUUGGUGGAUAAGGGUCAUUAACAAUCACAUCCAGGUGGACACCUGUGUGUGUGUGUGUGUGUGUGUGUGUGUGUGUUGUAUGCGUGUUUGCAGGUGUGUUGAGGUCAAGCUUCUUCCACGACUGCUUCUUGACCGUUUUGUGACAAGGUUUCCCACUGAAGCUGGGCCUAGAAUUUGGCUGGCCUGGAUGGCUAUCAGGCUGCAGAAAUCCGCCUCCCUCCCCUUUCCAGACCUAGGAUUACAGUUGUAUGCCAACAUGCCCAGCCUUUCACAAGGGUGAUGGGCAUCUGAACUCAGCCCUCCUGUUUGCACACUAAGCACUAUGUCCACCGUGCUAUCCCCCCUGCCUGAUUUUCUUUCCUUUACAAAUACAUCUAUUUUCUAGAUCUUUCCCUUGUGAAGGCCUAGAAGUUAUGACAUUGUAGUAGCAAUGGGAACCUCUAUAGUGCGGUUCCUCCUCCACUGAUAGAAUCAAUGUUCUCUGAAGGAAUGGUUAAUUUGAGGUCUGUGGAAAUGACCAGUAACACACAGGAAAUACAUGAAAGCUAUUCAGCACUAAUGAGGUUGUACUGAAUCUAUCAGACAACAUGAGAGAAUUACCACUGGACAAGACAGGAUAAUUUGAAAAUGAACAUGAUAAAGGAGAAAGGAAAGGAGAGGAAACAGAUGGGGGUGGGUGGGGUGGGCAGAGACAGACCAAACCCAACCAUCAUCACUAGUGCAAUUCUGGAUCAGCCCCACCAACUCCUCCCUCUGAAGACAGUGACAGGGAUUCAGUCAGCAUUUCUCAUCCCUUUCCUGUUUGAUUUGUACUUCAAAAUAACCAAAUAAAAGUACACUUUCAUGAAAAGGUUUCAGUUAAUAAAUACUAAAUAGAUGGUCAGAUUUUUAAAGCCCAGCAUUUCACAAGGUCUAAUGAAAGGACUGAUUUAUUAAUUAAGAAUGUGAAGCUCACCAUGUGCCUCUGCUGAGACAAAGGCCACCAGAGUUGGAGAGAUGGCUCAGCAACUAAGAACAUUUAUUGCUCUCCCAAGGACCAGAGCCAGGUUCCCAGGUAGCUCACAACCACCUAGGAUUCCAGUUCCAGGGAAUCCCACAUCUGUAGCCUUUUCAGGCACUAGCAUUAAUGUGCACACACCCACAUGUGAACAUGCAGUGUGCCUACACAUAAUAAAAAUUUCUCCUGCCAUGCAAAAAGGAAGGAAAUCUUAAGGAAGUGCUAUCUGUUUUUUCUUUUUCUUUUUCUUUUUCUUUUUCUUUUUUUUUUUUUUUUUUCUCUUUUUGUUUUUUCGAGACAGGGUUUCUCUGUGUAGCCCUGGCUGUCUUGGAACAAACUCUGUAGCUCAGGCUGGCCUCGAACUCAGAAGUCCGCCUACCUCUGCCUCCCAAAUGCCUGCGCCACCACUGCCCGGCCUCUUUUUGUUUUUUGAGUUUCUGUGUGUAGCCCUGGCUGUUCUGGAACUUGCUCCAUAGUAUAGACCGGGCUGUCCUCAGACUCAAGAGACCCAUCUACCUCUGCCUUCCAAGUACCGGGAUUUAAGCUGUGCACUUUAAUCCACCACCACCUCCCAGCAAGAAGAGCUCUUUCAUCUUUUAGAUUUUAAGCUCAAUAAUGGUAAUAUUUAAAGCACAUGUGACAGAUGAAUACUUGUAUACAGAAAGAUAGUUCAUGCUUUUAGAGAGGCAAAAAAAAGCAGAUGGGGCAAUUAGACAUUUUAUAAGGCUCUGUGACAGUAACCUAAGUUUACAAGGCAGAUGUUAAUUUCCUUGUAUUUAUUAUAAACCAAAUAAAUUGAAAACAAUAAAAAGGUAGAAAAACAUUGCGCCCUACUUCCUGGCUUUGAAUGGCUUGGUGGUGGCAGAGCACUUGUGCCUGCAGAGCACAGGGAGCACGGACAGCCACUCGGCACGUGUGCAAACAGACACUCCUGGAGCAUCUCAUACACAGUGCUCUUCUAUACGUCAGCAAAACUCACACAUCCACGUCCACGUAGCCAGUACCUCACUCACACGGCCACGUCCAUGUAGCCAGUACCUCACACGGCCACGUCCGUACAGCCAGUACCUCACUCACACGUCCACGUCCAUGUAGCUAGUACCUCACUCACACGGCCACGUCCGUACAGCCAGUACCUCACAGCCAAGGCAUACCAUAUGCUAGAGCCAUGCUCCACAUCAGCCUCAAGUCCAACACCAGCAAGUGUCCUAACAGUUGAAUGAAUGAUAAUAAAGAUACAUGAAAUGCCCAUGAUCUAGUUAUGCCCGGGGGUGGGAGCAAAGCUAUAGAAUAGAAUAUAUGAUAAUUCCAUUGUUUAAUAGACUCUGUGGACAUGGUGUGAAGGGUCAGAGUUAACUUGUAGCAGUCAGGCCUCUCCUACCACAUGGGUUUCUGGGCUGGAACUCAGGCCACAGAGCUUGAUGGCAGGUACUUUACCCUCAGAGUCUCACUAGCCCACAGUUAAGUCUUUAAAGAAAAUAAGGACCAUAUUAUUUUUGCAAUCAGAAGUAAAAAAAAAAAUCAAUGUUAAUUACUUCCACACAUAGCAGUACUGUUUAAAUGAUUUUUAAUACAAGAACCCUGAUUUUAUCCAAAAGACAUAAAAUACUGAAGUACCAUAUAAAGACCAAAGGAGAUGGUCAUUUUUUGCUCAGUUCUGAAUAUUUGGCGCAAGGGAGCUUGUUUGUCCAGCACAGUAUUAUAAAAUAAACAUAAUAUCUCAAUUCUAUUACUCAGUCUCCGCCUUUCUUCAAGUUCUUCUAAGAUAUACAGUGGCUUGAGAAUAGAGGCCCCAGGUUCAUCACCAGCUGUAAGAAACAAGAGGAGCCAGUGUGGAGGACACCACUGUGGUUUGAUUUUUAAAAAUACACUUGACAAUGACAUUGGUCAUUUGGACAAAAUUUGCUGAGAGGUAACUGUGCUAAAUACUAUGAACAAAAAAGGUUUGUAAUCAUCACUGAUUGACUGAAUCAUGAAGAAUAAGUAAGAAUAGAGUGAGGAGAAGAGCAAGAAAGGAAGGUGUGUAAAGAAAAAGGAGUACAUACAAGAAAGUACAAGGGAUGGUCAGAGAACAAGCAGGGAGAAACUGGGGUGACAUCGAGUCUCCUGGGCAACAGAACAGGGCCCUGACAAACAAAGAGAAGUAGGGCUCUUAGGACUCAGCCUGCUUUCUGCACCAGUCCCAGCAACACGUUACAGAAGCUUUGCAAAUGAAGAGUGGGAAAAAGCUACAUGGAAACCUAUGAUCUUCCAACUCAAGAAAAUAAUUCAAUUAGAGAGGACCGUAGGUGGCCUUGUUGUUGAAGCACUACUCACUUCGGUUUCAGGGCACAGAGAAAUCAACCUUGACUAACCAGAAACAUCUCCGUGAUGGCUAGCUUACAUAGUAUCAGAAGGUGCUAUGCAGGGGGAACGAAAGCCAUUAGUGGUCUUUCUCAGCACUAGACCCCACAUUCUAGGACACUGACCUGCUGGCAAGAUGCACCCACUGGUGUAAUAGUGGCAUGGCAGCUACAUGUGUAACUAACUACACUCUGAGCAGACACUGGUCUGUUGUACAGGAGGGAUGAUUUUCAUGCCUGUUGUUGUAAAUCUGCUCCAAAGCUGGGAGCAGGUCAUAGGACUGUGGAGGUCAUAGGUCUGGGGACUUGGGGAAAACUAUUGUUAAUUGGCUAAAUUAUAAUGCUGCCAAACUCUGUUCUAAAUAGUUAAGUUUAUACUCAUAUAUUUAUAUUGUUCUCUGUUUGGUUAGAGAAGAUUCUUUUGGUAGUGGGUGAUGGUUAAUGCAGAAACUUGUAACUGCUUAAAGUACCAAAUUUAAAUUAAGAACAGGCCAUCUAUAUCAAUCUCCCACCAAAGGUUUAGGGAACUUCAAGAGGAGGGGAUGGAGAGAAUGUAAGGGCUAGUAGAUGGGGAGAAAAGCUAAGAAAUGCUGACACUGAACAUGAUAUGGUUAUUGUACAUAUCAACUCAUAGCAUUUAUGGUUGUCUGAACAAAAAUAAAGCAAUCAAAAUUACAGCCUGCAUAGGGAGAGGCCCUCAAGGACCCAGCCAAAACUGAGGAGCUAUUGGUUGUUGGCGGCUGCAGAGGAAGGGAAGUUACUCUGCUUUGAGGACAUGGGAUGGGGUGCUUAUGUCCCAGUGGAUGGCCACACACUCAUGGACAUAUGGGAAACAUUAACGCCCAUAACUAAUAACCAACAGUCAAAAGGACCCGAAGGUGGGUGGGAUGCAGAUGGGAUGAGGCACUAUCCAGAGUUGGAGGGAGGUGGCAGCUGAUGGAUAUGGUCAACGUACACGGUAUUCGUGCAUAGAACUUUCAAAGAAUAGAAAGCAUUCUCUAAAAAAGAAGCUAUAGAAGUUCCUUGAGUAGAAACCCAGGACGAAGUGGGCCAAAGAGUUCACACAGCGUAAGGAGAUCUGAAGGGGUGUUUUCAGAUUUCCCUGACAGACUGAAGCCUGGGGAAGGCAUGGGCUCAGCAUGCGAAGAUGAGACUGAAAGAAAAACAAGAGAAAAAGGAAAAUACAGCCGAGAGCUGAGGACCAGGAGAGAGAGAGAGAGGCCCUAGAGCAAGUGGGAGUUGUAGGCUGAUAAGAGGCACAGGAAGAGACUGACCUGUAAGGAUCGGUAAGGAUGCUGCUCCAAGGUCUUGCUUACAGCCUGGAAGGCAGGCUGAGAGGGGAUAUGAUGUGAAAUUCUGGAACCCCACAGAACAAAUCUGAACAGACAGGCCAACAAGGCUUGCUAGUACUGUGUGCAGAACUGAAGCUACACUUUAAGAAAAAGGGGUAAAGGUCAUCCCAGAGCCCUUGCUGUGAUACGGGGAUCCAUUUUAUAAACUCCUGAGGCAGGUAUGGAAAAGGAGACGAAACAAGUUAUUCCAUGUAUCCAAAAUCUUUAUGCAAGUGUCUGAGUCUACCACCGGAUAGACAGGAAACAGAGAAUGCAAAUGAUGUAACAGGAGGUCUAAACGUUCUAUCCCGACGCAUCUCUUGUUUAAUAAAGAACUGAACUGUGAGCAGGUUGAUCUUUAGAGAAUUAUAAUCAGAUAGCAGCCGAAAGGUUACCAUGAUACAGCUAAAUUAUCUCUGCCUGUCACAGGUUAAAGGACAUUUACAUUCUGGAAGUUCACAUCAGCUUUUUUUUCCCGAUAACAAAUCUUAAGUACCUUCCUAUAUUCAUUCAAUUAGUGAUGUUGGGCCUUGAUAAAGCUGUGGAGAGAAACUUUCCAACUAUCAUUCAAAUCAUAUCUAAAAAGGUGGUCAUAAAUAUUUUAAAGCCUAAGUGAACUAAUAAGACCUAGACCCAUUAAGGAUAAGAUCUUUUACAACAAAUUAAAUAAAACAAUUUAUUGAAGUCUGGACUCCAGAUAAGCUAGAUUUACUGGCUGACCUUUUAUUCAUUUAAGGAACAAAAUUAGCUCUAAUUGCAUUAGAAUGGAAUUCAGUAAAUUUUCCUCAGUCUUCUAAUGUGGCAUCCCUAUAAGAACUGCUGGAAUUGUUUACAAGCAAGAUGGAAAUGCUUUGAUUGUAAUCUUUCCACUUGUUUUACUGGGUCAUAAAAGCAUUUCCCCAAACCCAAACCUGGUUGUUCUGACAGCAGACUAGUUUUUCUCUUAAAUACAUGUACUACAUUUUUGGUGACUGAGAGCAAAGUACAAUGCUCCAGAAGAAGUAGUUAAAUGUAAGACUUCGUCAUAACGCAAGGUUGGUGAAAAGAAGAGUAAUGGAAUACAUGAAGACCAGAGCUUUCUGAAAAAACAAAAACCAAAAAACUAAAAAAACUAAAAAAAUUAGUAAAGAGUUGAGGAUCCAAAUAAACAGCCAUCUAACUGGCUGUUUGUGACGAGGGAGCUGAGACAACCUAGGAGCCCAGAGAAGACAAGACUUCACAGGCCCCAGAGUCACUGGGCAGCCAGGAAAGCCUCCAGGAACGAUGCUUAGCAUUAAAGAGGUCCCGCAAAGACAGCAGACGUGCAGCUUGGUCUUCACGUGGAUCCCGAACAACAGGAGCAGGGCUGUCCCAAAGCUGUUGCCUGUCUGAGGGAUACCUUCUAGCCGGGCUGCCUUGCCUGACCUCAGUGGGAGAGGAAGCGCCUAGCCUCACAGACACUUCAAGUGCCAGGGGAUGGGGGGGGGGGGGGCAGCACAGAGGAGAAGGGGAGGUGGGAAUGGAGGGAAGGAUGGGGGGGGAGUGGCUGGGAGGGGAACUGAUGAAUAAGUUAAAAAAAUUAAAUAAUAAUAAAAAAAGAGGUCAUUUUAAUGUUGCAGGCACAGUUUUUAAAAUUCAAACUGCACUUACAAAUUCUAAAUAUGGUCAAGCUUAGGGCUUAUCACUGCUUUUGUUAUACCUUAAAGCCUGGCAAAAACCUAGGGAAUGUCUCCAUUUCCGUAGUAAUUUCACUAGGGCAGGGCAAAAGAAAGACAACCCAUGGUGCCUCAAUUAAAAAUCAAAAUCAAAAUCAAAACCAGUUUUGUUUCUGGGUUUUUCUUUUUUUUCUUUUCUUUUUUUUUUUUUUUUUUUUUGUGAAAGGGGAAAAUAUUGAAAUCAGAAAAUCAAGAGGCCUUCCCUGGCUGAAGGGCCAUGCUGCGUACUACUCAGCUUUGGUGCUACAGAGCUGUGCUGUGUACAAGGUUCCUUCUCUCCCGUCCUGCCCGCCUUUCUCUAACGACCACAGAAGGCACCUGUUCCUCUUGCCUGCCUUGUCCCAUAUUGUGGUGAGAGCCCACCUUCCUUCUGGAGUUCCCGUCAGCCCACUGCUGACAGGGUUCUGCUACACAGCACAGGCUGGCCUCAAACUUGCAGUUAUCCUCCUGCCUCAUUCCUCUAGGGCAAGGAAUUACAAGCAUGUCUGCCAUGUAUACUGUCCCUAGCUACAUUUUAAAGUAGAAAGAUGUUUAUUUCCCUUGAAAGUAUUGUUAAAUGGUUAUUUUUGUAUUUCCUAAUGGUUAUUCUAUUUCACUUGUCAAAAGUUUGGCAAUAGAAAGACAAGUAUCUAGACCUGCUUUAUAUUUAAAAUAUCAAGCCUCCUGUUUUUGAUCACUAAGCUUCAGCUCUAACUUCACCGCGUAGGGAACUAACUGAGAAACGACAACUAUUAUAAGUCCUCACUUCCGCGAACCUGCAGCAAGCGCAGGACGGCCUAGGCAAGAAGAAACUCUCUGGAGUGGGGAAACCUGCCAGGCACUACUGGAAACCAAACAGCCCCCCCCUUCUCCCCCCCCCCCCCCCCCCCCGUAUCUCAAACCCAACCAGAAAACUGGGGGAAGCCGAGAAACACAAUUCCCCUUGCAAACCAGGCAAACUCUCAGAGCUCUCACUUCUGAGCAGACAUAGCUGCCUGACAGGCCUUGGAGGGAGGGAGGAGCUGAGCAGGGAGGUCCCUGAAUUCCUAUCAGGAGCCUCUCUGUGGGGGAGUAUAGCCUAGCACAAGGAAAGGGGCAGACACUCAAAGCUGGGUCACAUGGCCACAGUCCCAGCUCAGGGCCAGCCUAGGCCACUUAGAGAGAUCUUAUGUAGGGUGGGCUUGAAGGUGUAACUUACUCCCUCCAGCUAUCUGUGAUAGCACAACUUUAAGGGGGACAUAUGCAAAGUGUGAGGAAGAAUGGUUAUUCUCCAUCAGUAGUCACCCUCAAAGUUUGUGCAAAUUUAUAUUACAUUUUAAUUAAUACUUUACAAUGACAAUAUGGAAAAUUACCUUUUUCUAUGAGGCAUAACUGAAGUUUGAAUUAUAUAAAUAUUCAGAUGUUUAAACUUAGAAAACCUAUAGGUACUAUUCUGUCAUGUUUCUUUUUUUUUUGUUUUUUUGUUUGUUUGUUUUUUUUUUUUUUCGAGACAGGGUUUCUCUGUGUAGCUCUGGCUGUCCUGGAACUCACUCUGUAGACCAGGCUGGCCAUCUGCCUGCCUGCCUCUGCCUCCUGAGUGCUGGGAUUAAAGGCAUGUGCCACCACACCCAGCCUGUCAUGUUUCUUUCUUGACAAUUGGUUUUUUUGUUUGUUUGUUUGUUUGUUUGUUUGGAGACAAGGUCUUACUUUAUAGCUCUGACUGGCUUGAAUUUGCUAGGAAGACCAGGCUAGCAUCAAAUGUAUAGAAAUCCACCUGCUGUUCCCUCCCAGAGUGCACCAUUAUACAUAGCUUCUCUGAGUUUUAACACAGUCAGGAAGGGUACUGGCGUUACAAGACGGUUUUGAGGGACGGGAGACUAAGGAAAACUGCUGCUGCCUUGCUAUGAGGAGCACUAACAGAGAACAGAGGACCCUCUCUAACCACAAAGUACUUUUGUGGAUCAAGGGCAGAAGACCAAAGUUCUUCAAGACUUAGAAACUAAAUGUUGUCUUAAGGAUCUUAAUUUCAAAAGACUUGGUCCUUCAGCAAUAACCCCUCCCCCACCCCCAGACAUGAGGAAUACACAGUGCAGAUUCUCUUGUUUUUGAAUAUCCAUGUGCUCAUUAAUUACCUUAAAAGCCAGCCCCCAGGUGUACAGACAAUAAGUGGACACACACUUAUGCAACUCCACACGUUCCAUCACUUAGCCAUGGAACAAGGUAUGUGCAGGGAAGUUCCUCAUGUGCCACCAUAAAAGACGGCUAGAAUUUGAAUGUUACCCAUGACUUGCGUGCCAUAACACUAUUUUUAAUUUUUACUUAAACAUUUGAUGUGUAUGGGCACAUGGGUGCAGACCCUCUGGACCUGGAGCUACAGGUGAUUGAGAGUCACCUGAUGUUCAUGCAAAGAACAUGGUCCUCUGGUCCUCUGCUGGCGCAGCAGGUGCUCUUCAUUGCUGAACCAACCCUAUAGCCCCACAGAAGAUUUUUAAAAGUUUUUCAGUCAUUUAAAACCAGAAAAACCAUUCUUGGCUUAUAGGCCAUACAAAAGCAAGUAGGCCAUACAGAUUCAGUAGGCUGGAAAUGGCUCCGCAGCUGCAGUUUAUCAAGCCCUAACUUAGAUCUUCCCAUCCCCGAGAAAUAGUCACUGAAUUUGUAUUUAUAUGAAGUUCUGGUUAACUUGAGCCCCUGCCUCCCUCGGACUUUAAUUUGACGUGCAAUGUGUUACACUUGAUGCCUGCUUUGGUCGAAUAGUUAGCUGUCCGUGUAACAUGGCGGUUGUUUUCUAGGCAUUCACAAGUCACAGGUUAUGUAAUACUACUUCCAAGGGUAAUCUAUCUAGAAUCCAGGCUGUCUGAAUUUCCCUCAAGCUGGACAUUUUGUUCCAGAGUGAUAGGAUCCAGUCCUUGCUUCGUCCUAUCUCUUAGGAAUAUGAAUGAUUUACUGAAAGGUGAAAACAGAACAGCUAGCCAACAGAAUUACCAACAGGUGCUUCAGGGCAGAGAGAUGAAUGUAACCAGCAAUGCCUUUUUAAAUCUUAAUUCUCUAAAGGGAAGAAACCAAGCUUCUGUGUGGGAGUUAAGACGGUAUUGCUGCGCUAUGGAGAAAAUAGGAAUUAAAUAGGAAUCUGUGAAAGUAUCCUUCGAAUGAUGAACAAGAACACUUCCCUUAGAGAAAUGAGACAGUGUAGAGGAUUUUCAAGGAGAAGGUGUUCCCUAGAGCUUGUGCAUGCUGGUAAGUGCUACUGCUGAGCUAGAACCUGGCUCAGGCUGGUCUUCCCAAGUAAGCUCAAGCAGAAUUCAAAGAGUUUUGAAGAGCUUCUGUUUGUUAGCAGUAAGAGCCCACCUGCCUUCGAGGUCUGUACGAGCACAGCAGAGUGAUGUGGAACUCAGAGAAAGUAGGGGAGACUAAGAAGCACCUGGACCCCGGCCUUCUCAGCUCUUCCUCUCCAGCAUAGACUUUUUUUGAAAGACAAUGUCGGCCUCUGUCUUACCCCAUCAUAAUCUGGAGGGACUCCUUUAUUGAAGAGAGCAGUAUAUAGAAUACACAUGCUCUAUGAUGACGUGAACUGACAACAGUGAUCUCCUGCACUGUAAACCCUGUCAAAGGUCCAGGUCUGGGGAGGUCACAGGCCCUGGGUGGUGGUGGUGGUGGGGGGUCUCCCACUGUUGUUUUACUAAAGGGACACAGUGUCAAAAGGCCUUGUAAAUAUUUGUGUUUACACCCAUGGGUAAGUACUGCUCUGUCAGAAACGAACGGCUAAUGGCGGUGUCUAGUAAGGUAUCAAAGCAGAGGCUGGUCAGCUCUCCCAGCAUCUUCCACAGUAUUCAUGGCUCCUUCCAGCACUCUCCAUCCAGUCCCCUACCCUCUCAGGGGUCAGGCCUCUGCUUGGCUUCCCUCAGCCUGAUGUCUAUAUAACUCAGCUGUGGUGGCUAAGCAGCUCCCCUGGCCUCUUGGUCAGGAGUAGCCUCUCUUACUCAGGGUCUGGUUUAGUCUGGUGGCCAUGCUCAGUAUGGAGUCUUUCUUCCCUCUGCCUGCUUUCUCCCUUAUAUCUGCAAUAGAAAUCUUCCCAUACUUUAGGAGUAGGCAUGUCCUCCUCCCUUCCUGUAUUUCA